UUAUGGUUUCCUUUGCUGUGCAAAAGCUUUUAAGUUUCAUUAGGUCCAAUUUGUUUAUUUUUGCUUUUAUUUCCAUUUCUCUAGGAGGUGGGUCAAAAAGGAUC